UCAAAGUAAGAUGAUUUUCUCUCAGUAGUUUCAUUGACAUCAUGUUUCCAUUUUAUUAUUUAUGGUUCUUAUCUUGUUUCCUACAUCAACUGUUGUUUGGUGCAAGAAACAAUUUCAUGAUGGAGUAUUAACCCUCCUGAAAACCUAGCUCGAACCCCUUCCAGAUGGAAGCUUACCGAAUAUAAACAUCCGUGGGGCAAUAUUGAGGAUCUUAACUGAUUUUCCCAUUGAUUUAUAGCAUUAUGAUAGGAGAGAGCAACUGAAGAAGAGUGGUCUUGGGAAGGUUAUUAUGUUUUUGUUGAAGUCUGACGAGGAGACCACAGCCAACAGAAGAAUGGCAAAAGACUUGGUUGAUAAAUGGGUAAUGUUAUAAAUUUUUUGGACUUUUGGCACUCAUACUUGUAUUGAUCACUCUUCAUGGUUCCCCU